GCAGACAGACAGACAGACAGACAGACAGACAGACAGACAGACAGACAGACAGACAGACAGACAGACAGACAGACAGACAGACAGACAGACAUGCAUGACAGACAGACCAAGCAGACAGACAGACCAAGCAGACAGACCGACCAAGCAGACAGACAAAGCAGACAGACCAAGCAGACAGACCAAGCAGACAGACAGACAGACAGACAGACAGACAGACAGACAGACAGACAGACAUGCAUGACAGACAGACCAAGCAGACAGACCAAGCAGACAGACAGACAGACAGACAGACAGACAUGUGGUGGAGAUGGGCCGGCCGGGCGUGGACUCCCCUCCUCGAUUGCCUUUACAGUGGGGAUUUAACAGUAUGUUAGGAGGCUACCUAACGGCAGCCAGUCACCAAUGUCACAUAUGGCACAAUGAGCAGACAGACAGACAGACAGACAGACAGACAGACAGACAGACAGACAGACAGACAGACAGACAGACAGACAGACAGACAGACAGACAGACAGACAGACAGACAUGCAUGACAGACAGACCAAGCAGACAGACAGACCAAGCAGACAGACCGACCAAGCAGACAGACCAAGCAGACAGACCAAGCAGACAGACCAAGCAGACAGAGCAGAUGCCGACUGCCGCCCCAUAUUUCACUCACACCAAAACCAGAAACAGUAACGUUAUCAAGGCCUUGCAUAAAGGAAGAUGGGGUGACAGAGAAACAAAGAGAGGAGGCUCAACCAACCAGCGACAUUUGUUUUGUAAUUCUCCUGAGCGCCUUCAUUAACGCAGCAGCUUGCGUUGUUUCUCUGAACACUCUGUGUUAGUUAUUUAGGAGAACAAGUCAGAGGGGGUUAAGACUCAAGCGUAUGCAAAUGUAAUUAGGGCCAUUUGCAUACCCGUUAAGCAGAUGGCGGGCGUUAAAAGCAGUCCGCAGUCGCCAUCUUGGCUGAGCAGACAGCUGGCAGACAACGGCAGCCAUUUUGUAGGCGCGCGGCACGGCGUUGCCAGGCUGAGACACAGCGUGGCGCCUGUCUCUCUGUGCCAGCAGAUUGACACGGGACUCUUAAUACUAAUCUGUAAGCCACGCAACUACUCCACAAUUCAAUUACAGCAUUAUCACACCCUAGGGCAUUAUGUUUGAUGAAGGUAAGCAGCAAAAAUAAAAGACAAUUGUCUGUGCUACAUUGCUGUGUAUACUGUAUAUUACUCAAACCGAUUAUACAACGGGUGGUUUGGAAUUCCCAUUGCUAGAGCCUAUCCUGCCCAUGAUAUACUAAACAACAUACACAUGGCCAGUGCAUUCAUAAAAAGUGCCAUCAUUUACGUUGUUACCUAGCAACACACUACUACUACUACUACUACUACUUUUACAGAUCCACUGUCUCAUCUGCCCAGCCAUGCAAUUUAUAAAACUUGAUCUCCACUGUAAAAAGCAUCUAGACAUUAUCUCAGGAUUUGCAACAUUGUUGCAAUAUUUAAAAUUAGAUAUCUACUCUGUCCCAUAGUAAUGAACGUAUUCCACAUCUUUUCUCAGCCAGUUGAAAUCAUGAAUCAGCAUCAUUUUAUGGAUAAAAACAAAGAAAUGUCAAUAGAAAAACAGGUUAAACGAAAUGAAAUGCAGCUAGUUUUCUGUCUUUCCAGCUUCAUUCUGAAGUGAUUGUGUUAGCUGUGUGGUUGGCUAGCUAGCAAGGGUGGAAGACAGACCCUCCAUAGCAACCACUUUUGUAUGCUACAAUGUUCAACCAGCACUUGGGUACAGGGCAGUCAAUACUUUACAGGGCUCCCGAGUGGCGCAGCGGUCUAAGACACUGCAUCUCAGUGCUAGAGGCAUCACUACAGACACCCUGGUUGGAUUCCAGGCUGAACCACAACCAGCUGUGAUUGGGAGUCCCAUAGGGUGGCGCACAAUUGUCCGGGGUGGGCCUCUCAUGUAUUAUUGCUUAACUGUAACCUGUCUUUGACGGUUUUAUUUGUUUAAGAUUAUGAAUAUUCCUCACACAUUUCACACAGCAUUUGAAUAUACACCCAGCAAUUGUCACAUGACAUGUCACAUCUGUGUAAAAGGCUCAAACAAUAGAACAGUGAAGCUGGAGGCCUGCUUACCAAGUGAAGUCUGCAACAUUGUGUUGUUUGUAGAUCUCACUCUGUGAAGUUGUUACUGUUUCAGGUCCAAACAAGCUCUGUCCCUUUUGUCCUCUCCAGCCCAGCAGUUUUCAAUCCUUUUCUUCUCCAAUGAAAUAAAUGUAAUUCAGCUUUUUGUGUGUCCAUACAGCACUUACAGUCAUUCUUAUUUAAUCAAAUGUUUUCUAUUUCUAUGUAUCUAAAGAUAGGGUUUCUUGCGUAGAAGGUCUUUUCAAAGCUUCUUAUGUGGAGAGAUUGAUUCAAAUAUGGAGGAGAAAAGUCACAUGAAAUAGUGGAUACUGUUCAGGCCACUGUUCAGGCAUUAUCUGCUCACCGUCCUUUUCAUCUCUCACUCAGGACUCGUUCACUCCUGAAUAUAGUUCAGCUGUACAGUGAAUGGGUUAUCAGCCACUACUAUAUAACCAUCAGACAGUGAACGGUACUGUAUUAAAACCAGCACCUCUUCCUUCUCCAUACAGAUCAAUAACCUCUGCCACCUCCUCUGAUAGUAACCUGAGUGGUGAGGAAGAAAACUGGAGGCGAAAAAGAUUUUCUCUGAAUCUGCAGACGAGAGAAAAAAGUUCAAAUUGUCCUUUUAUCCUGGUUCAUCACAUGUGGAGAGCAUGGUGACUGUACAGUACAUGCUUGGAGGGGGACUGACGAGAGAGCCCUGUUCAAUUCAAUAUAAGAACUCUCGCUCAAACAGUCAGGUGGAAUGAGUAAGAAUGAGUAAUCAGAGAAAAAAAAAGAAAAAGACCUUUGACGUCCGUUUUUUAUUCUCUCUCUUUCUCGCUGGCAAAGCUUUAGCAAGUGGUCUUGGACCACGAAAGCCCCUACGGCAGAACCACACAUACAGACAUGCUUACACACACACAGAUAGAGAGAAAGCAGGUGGUUGAGGGUUAGGAUCUGACUGAUGUGCUCCAUACAGUGGCUGGUUCUGGUCCUGCUACUAGAGGAGGAGGAGAGCGAGAGCUGGCAGCGCUGGGUCCCUGGGCUCUAGGGCCGGGGGCAGUGAUGGGCGAACCCUGCUAGCCUCUCUCCUCCAUAUUGAUUUGCUGCUCCGCUUUGCUGAGGAGCAUCUUGCUAGCGGGGAUGAGAGCCUGCCUCGCCUCCCCUUGCCUCGGCUCGCCUGCCCACUCUGCCGCUGCCUGGCUGGCCCCAGCCGGCUCCCUGAGAACCCGGCACGGCGCAGAGGGCCACGGGAAGAGAGGAGCCAGAGAGCCCAUGGCCAUCGACAGCUGGGUUCACCUGCUCCCUGGUUCAUCAUUCACUGCUUCCAAACAGGCAUCAUUCCUAUCCUCUCCUUCUCUUCCUAUUUUUCUCUCUGUUUCUCCUCCUCCUCCUGCAAACAACAAGAGACAGGGAGAAAGAAAAAGAGUUGAGCUUAACUUGCAGCAUUUUGCCCACAGUAUACAGAUGUCAAUCCUGUGCUUUGAUCAGGGAGGUGGGGGGGUGGGGUGGGGUGUUUUGGCAUCCUCUCAGUUUGUGAUGUGAACUUCAUCACCCCCUGAGUAAAGAAAAGCUGAAAUGGGAGAAUGUUGAGUUAAGUGUGUCAGGCAGGAAGAAACUGCCUGCCAAGUGUACUCUGAGCUAUUACUCUGACGAUUUCCCAUUUCCCUCCACACAGCAGCCAGUGACAGGAUUUGGCUGAUGAUGCCCCUCCACACAGCAGCCAGUGACAGGAUUUGGCUGAUGAUGCCCCUCCACACAGCAGCCAGUGACAGCAUUUGGCUGAUGAUGCCCUCCACACAGCAGCCAGUGACAGCAUUUGGCUGAUGAUGCCCCUCCACACAGCAGCCAGUGACAGCAUUUGGCUGAUGAUGCCCCUCCACACAGCAGCCAGUGACAGCAUUUGGCUGAUGAUGCCCUCCACACAGCAGCCAGUGACAGCAUUUGGCUGAUGAUGCCCCUCCACACAGCAGUCAGUGACAGCAUUUGGCUGAUGAUGCCCCUCCACACAGCAGCCAGUGAUAGCAUUUGGCUGAUGAUGCCCUCUCCACACAGCAGCCAGCGAUAGCAUUUGGCUGAUGAUGCCCCUCCACACAGCAGCCAGUGACAGCAUUUGGCUGAUGAUGCCCCUCCACACAGCAGCCAGUGACAGCAUUUGGCUGAUGAUGCCAUCCACACAGCAGCCAGUGAUAGCAUUUGGCUGAUGAUGCCCUCCACACAGCAGCCAGUGAUAGCAUUUGGCUGAUGAUGCCCCUCCACACAGCAGCCAGUGAUAGCAUUUGGCUGAUGAUGCCCCUCCACACAGCAGACAGUGAUAGCAUUUGGGCCUAUUAUAAAAAUCACCAUAGCACUGGUGGAAUUCAUAAAAAUGAUCCUCAACAAAAUACAGUCUUUACCAAUAACAACCUACAGUAUAUCCCCAACCACAAAGGUCCACCAAGUUUGGGGUAUUUUGCUAUUGCCCCCCCAAAUAACAAAGACUGUGCAAUAGAGACAGGAAAACUCUGCUUCACGGGCUUAGCUAUUUGGCACAUAGUGAAUGUGGAAGAAUGUGAGGGUGUUUGCCAGUGUCAUUCUAAACGUUGUUAAAAAACACUUGUGCUUGUUGUAUUGUCUAAAAUUAUUCAAAUGGUUUCAGCGCCCUCUUAUUAUGUUAAUGGCAGUAGGGGACAUUUCUUUAUGGACUCUCGGCUCCAUUGUGUCCUUCAACUGUGAAAGACCAUGGUCAAACUGAACCCCUUCCAUCCCAUACCGCCAUCACACCACUACCACGACACAACCUACAGGCCUCCUCUCUCCUCCUCACCCCACCUCUACUGUCACAAAAAAUAUAUUUUACAAAAAGUCCACAGGCUUAAUUCCACACUGAGAAAAUAAAGAAAUACACUUUUGGAGACUCGCUGGGCGUUUGGAAGUUGGUAGUUGGCCGUUGAGGGGAGAGAAAGGGGGACCUAGAGGGGACUGGGCUGUUGGGACUAGAAGAGGGGGUGUGUUAGGGGUACGAAUAGGGGGAGACCGGGGGAGAGGUGCAUGUCUCAGACACAAUAAUACUAUUCAUUGGGCUCAGACAUGGGUGUUAACUCCCCUCUGCCAGGACACAAUGGGGCUCCCCGGCAUUCAGACAGCCUUGGUGAUAUUGUUAGUUCAGGGCUGCAUUCCCCCGGCCGCGGGAUGAAGCGGACGCAUUGUGCCGGGCCGGCAGGAUGGAUGGAGGGAGGCUUGAGAGGCAAAGAAAGAAAGAACAGGGCGUUUGUCUAUCUGUCAGCUCUGAAGGAGAGGGCAGAGGCAAAGGGGAAGGGUACAGGGAUAUUGGGGUGGUACGGAGGGGAGCUUUCGCCCCAUGGCAUUGGACUUGUGUUUAGAAAUCAUGCUAUAAAUAUUAUUGAAGCAGCCAAGUGCAGAACUAAAGACCCGUGGAAAGAAGGGGGUGGGGAAACGGAAGGAACAUAGCGAUGAAGGCAUGACGCUUUUUCCUAAGAAAGGGGGCUUUGACAUGUGGUUUGCAUAUCGCUAUAGUGUUAAGACACAUUUUGGCACCGCCUUGCCUUGGUAGAGGGAGACCGAACGAGAGAGAGGGAGUGAGACUAAGAAGGGGGUAGAGAGAGAGAGGGAGUGAGAGAAAGAAGGGGAUAGAGAGAGAGAGACGUGAGAUGUAGCUGCAGCGGUUGCCGCGUGGUUUGACGCUGGGCUGAGGCGACGAUGUCCAACGGCCAACUGCCGCGAGACCUACUUUCCUCCAGCUCGAUAGAUACCCAGUGUUUCCUCCCCGAUCCACGGCCACUAUACGAACCCAGAACGGAGACAAUACCAAGGGAGUGGACAGGAGUGAUAGUGACAGGUGAUAGUGACAGGAGGGACAGUGACAGGUGUGAUAGUGACAGGAGUGUGUGAGAGUGUGUGUGUGUGAGAGUGUGAUAGCAGCACAGUGGGCAUGGCAGAGAGAGCGCUGUGACUAGAAGAUCCCGUAAAAACAAACAUGGAACAGAUACACAUUAGCCUUUGCUAGCCUCGCUAUGAUCACACACACACACACACACACACA
rnacentral:lncRNA from 1 species